rnacentral:rRNA from 4 species
AAACUUUCAACAACGGAUCUCUUGGUUCUGGCAUCGAUGAAGAACGCAGCGAAAUGCGAUAAGUAAUGUGAAUUGCAGAAUUCAGUGAAUCAUCGAAUCUUUGAACGCACAUUGCGCCCUUUGGUAUUCCGAAGGGCAUGCCUGUCCGAGCGUCAUU